AGAGAUGGAUGGGUAGGCACACCUGCGUGACAGCUUCCGUGUGUGGUAGGUUAUCUGCGGUGUGGAAAAGGUGCAGGUCAGAAGCAAGACAUUUUACGGCUGAAAGAAGAUGGUCAAAGGAUGCCCUCACUCAAUAGUCUAGGUGAAGCUACAUCUGUCAAGCAACCAGCCCAAAGAUGCUGCCUGAGGCAGUUGCCUCCCACAGACCUCCUCACACUCCAGCUCAUGGCCUUCCCUAAGACCAGAACCCAGCAGGAUCACAUCCAAAGAAGGGAGGCUCCCUACAGAUCGUGGAAAACACUCCUGCACCUUCAUUGAGGUUCAACUCCAUUAUAUCUACAGGAGAGGUGACUUGGUCGGUGAAAGUGUUGCAAAGGCUCCCUGCCACCACAAAUUUCAGAGAUCCUAAGAAGAUAACCAUGAACACUGGAUGUUUUGGAGUGCCAUUCCAGUUGGUGCCAGCCAGUCUCUCC